rnacentral:rRNA from 1 species
GAUGAACGCUGACAGAAUGCUUAACACAUGCAAGUCGAUGGGGAAGUGGUGCUUGCACCAUGGUAACCAUGGCGGACGGGUGAGUAACGCGUAAGGAACUUACCUGCGGGACCGGGAUAACAGCAGGAAACUGCUGACAAGACCGGAUAAGGUCAUUAAGCUGCAUAGCUUAGUGAUGAAAGGAGACGCCUGCGGAGAGCUUGCGUCCUAUUAGCUAGUUGGAGGGGUAACGGCCCACCAAGGCGAAGAUAGGUAGCCGGCCUGAGAGGGUGGACGGCCACAAGGGGACUGAGAUACGGCCCUUACUCCUACGGGAGGCGGCAGUGGGGAAUAUUGGACAAUGGGGGCAACCCUGAUCCAGCAAUUCUGUGUGCACGAAGACGGUUUUCGGAUUGUAAAGUGCUUUCAGCAGGGAAGAAGGAAGUGACGGUACCUGCAGAAGAAGCGACGGCUAAAUACGUG